rnacentral:rRNA from 1 species
UAGGGAAUCUUCCGCAAUGGGCGAAAGCCUGACGGAGCAACGCCGCGUGAGUGAUGAAGGUCUUCGGAUCGUAAAACUCUGUUAUUAGGGAAGAACAAAUGUGUAAGUAACUAUGCACGUCUUGACGGUACCUAAUCAGAAAGCCACGGCUAACUACGUGCCAGCAGCCGCGGUAAUACGUAUGUGGCAAGCGUUAUCCGGACUUAUUGGGCGUAAAGCGCGCGUAGGCGGUUUUUUAAGUCUGAUGUGAAAGCCCACGGCUCAACCGUGGAGGGUAAUUGGAAACUGGAAAACUUGAGUGCAGAAGAGGAAAGUGGAAUUCCAUGUGUAGCGGUGAAAUGCGCAGAGAUAUGGGGGAACACCAGUGGCGAAGGCGACUUUCUGGUCUGUAACUGACGCUGAUGUGCGAAAGCGUGGGGAUCAAACAGG